UUCUUCCUACGGGGCGCAGCAGUGAGGAAUAUUGGUCAAUGGGCGCGAGCCUGAACCAGCCAAGUCGCGUGAGGGAGGACGGCCCUACGGGUUGUAAACCUCUUUUGCCGGGGAGCAACGGGCGUCACGUGUGGCGCCACUGAGAGUACCCGGAGAAAAAGCAUCGGCUAACUCCGUGCCAGCAGCCGCGGUAAUACGGAGGAUGCGAGCGUUAUCCGGAUUUAUUGGGUUUAAAGGGUGCGCAGGCGGCACGGCAAGCCGGCGGUCAAAUCGCGGGGCUCAACCCCGCCCAGCCGUAGGAACUG
rnacentral:rRNA from 1 species